rnacentral:rRNA from 1 species
UACGUAGGGGGCAAGCGUUGUCCGGAUUCAUUGGGCGUAAAGAGCGUGUAGGCGGCCAGGUAGGUCGGUUGUGAAAACUGGAGGCUCAACCUUCAGAGGUCGACCGAAACCAUCUGGCUAGAGUCCGGGAGAGGAGAGUGGAAUUCCUGGUGUAGCGGUGAAAUGCGCAGAUAUCAGGAAGAACACCAAUGGCGAAAGCAGCUUGCUACACGAGUAUUGACACUGAGGCACGAAAGCGUGGGGAUCAAACAGG